rnacentral:rRNA from 1 species
UGGGGAAUAUUGCACAAUGGGCGCAAGCCGAUGCAGCCAUGCCGCGUGUAUGAAGAAGGCCUUCGGGUUGUAAAGUACUUUCAGCGGGGAGGAAGGCGAUGCGGUUAAUAACCGCGUCGAUUGACGUUACCCGCAGAAGAAGCACCGGCUAACUCCGUGCCAGCAGCCGCGGUAAUACGGAGGGUGCAAGCGUUAAUCGGAAUUACUGGGCGUAAAGCGCACGCAGGCGGUAUGUCAAGUCGGAUGUGAAAUCCCCGGGCUCAACCUGGGAACUGCAUCCGAAACUGGCAGGCUUGAGUCUCGUAGAGGGGGGUAGAAUUCCAGGUGUAGCGGUGAAAUGCGUAGAGAUCUGGAGGAAUACCGGUGGCGAAGGCGGCCUCCUGGACGAAGACUGACGCUCAGGUGCGAAAGCGUGGGGAGCAAACA